rnacentral:ncRNA from 2 species
UAUCCGAUAAAGCCACAAGGCUCUCGGAUAGGGAAUCCGGUGCAAAUCCGGAACAGUACCCGCUGCUGUAAGUCCUAAAUAUAAAGUCUGUUGCACAACGCCAUUGGCCUCUGAGGCCGAGAAGGCGCAACAACGACCGGGAUAAGUCAGAAGACCUGCCAUUUAUUCAGCAGACAU